CCAUUCAUCUGUCUUCUUUAAGUGGGGUUUUUUGAGUACUGUAGUGUCAGAAGGAAGGUGAAAGUGAAAGUGAAAACUAAACUCUGGUGCGUGUGCAAAAGCUGCUUGCUCCUUAAACAGCAGACGCAGACCAGCCUGGUAUCAACAUGGCUCCGCUCCCAGUAAUGGUGGCUUGUGCCAUCCUGCUGGCCUUUGCCAUCACCCUCACUGUUGUAAGUACCUCACAGAGGAAUGGCCACCAUCGCCCCAACAACCACCGUGAAUACCACAGGAGAGACUCUUUGUGAACAGUGAACAUGCAAGAGCUGCCUGGUCAGGGCAGUGUUCAAUGAGGCCUUAGGCUCCACAAAGCAAAGGCAAAGAAGCAUCUUUCAUGGGCACCAAAAGAAGUCCUUCCCUUCUGGGCCUCCCUGACCCCGGUUCUCCCUGUGCUGACAACUGAGGGGAAUGUCUCCCCAGCUCUCUGCUUCCUCAGCUUCACGCUCAUCUCAGCCGGGUACAUCGCGCUGCUCCUCCAUUCACACCAAGAUGGGAAUUUGAAAUGGAUUUGAACAAACAGGCCCUGCCUAGGGCAUAUGCAUCUGUUGGUGGGGGGGGGGUCGCCCUGCCUGUGAGCUUGUGAGCGGGAGGAACAAGUGUCUAGACUCCCGAGCUUCACUCUUUUAAUCAUUCUGCCAAUUAAUAAAUGUGUGUGAGCAUU